rnacentral:misc_RNA from 1 species
CCGAGUGAGGGCCCCCGGGCUCGACCUCCCACCCCUUGACAAACGUCCGGUUUGCCUCGGGGGUGACCCGGACCUCUUGACGUCCGGGUGACCCCCGGAGGGAUAACCCACUCUGCAUUUUGGCGUCGGAGUUACACGGUAAAUGGAAUGA